rnacentral:rRNA from 1 species
AGUGAAUAGAUACCCGGGUAGUCCACGCCCUAAACGAUGUCAACUAGGUGUUGGGGAAGGAGACUUUCUUAGUACCGCAGCUAAACGCGUGAAGUUGACCGCCUGGGGAGUACGGUCGCAAGAUUAAAACUCAAAGGAAUUGACGGGGACCCGCACAAGCGGUGGAUGACGUGGAUUAAUUCGAUGCAACGCGAAAAACCUUACCUACCCUUGACAUGCCAGGAAUCCUGAAGAGAUUUGGGGGUGCCCGAAAGGGAACCUGGACACAGGUGCUGCAUGGCUGUCGUCAGCUCGUGUCGUGAGAUGUUGGGUUAAGUCCCGCAACGAGCGCAACCCUUGUCGCUAAUUGCCAUCAUUUAGUUGGGCACUUUAGCGAGACUGCCGGUGACAAACCGGAGGAAGGUGGGGAUGACGUCAAGUCCUCAUGGCCCUUAUGGGUAGGGCUUCACACGUCAUACAAUGGUCGGUACAGAGGGUUGCCAACCCGCGAGGGGGUAGCUAAUCCCAGAAAGCCGAUCGUAGUCCGGAUUGUAGUCUGCAACUCGACUGC